rnacentral:lncRNA from 13 species
GUGUCCAGAUUGGCUAUCUAGCCAUAGAAUGGAGUACGAAUUCAGAUAAUAUGUACCAUGUUUAUCUACUGAUUGGUUAUAUUUUCAUGAAUUGCGUUAUUGAAUCAAAUUACCAGACCAUAAACAGAGUAUGCGCAAAGCUAUGGCGCUUUACGGUACAGCCAUACCAGCAGAAAGGGAGAGUUCGAUGUGCAUGCAACUUCCCAUUGAAAAGCUAGCUAGCAGUUAAUAACACAUAUUAGAAUGCCCCCUCCAUGAAAAUGAUUUCAGACACAUCCUGCAAAUAAUAAUCUACCUCGUGCACAGUGUGAAGUCGCUUUUGCACUGUCUCUAACAAUAACAUUGUGAAACAGUGCAUCCUAGCUAGCUAGCGUUAGCGGCAAAGCCAAAGGAAACUCCCCCGAGAAGAACAGCGCGCAACAAAAACAUGGCGGAGUCAGAGGAGGCUAAACAAAAAUCUCAGCAUGAACUCCGGCUGUCCAAGGCUUUUGAUGAGGCGGUGAAGCUCUCAGCCCCCAUGGCUGGUGAGUCCCAGAGGCAGCACACUCCCCUCUCAACCAGAUCUCUCUGGAGCAGCAUCACAACCGGACCAGUCUUUGAUGCACCAGAACCAGUCGGACGGCCUGACGUCAACCAUGAUUUUAGCAGUGAUGAUGAGGGGCAUGUAUUCCCUCACAUCUCUCACCCUACCAGUGCCACCUUCUCCCUGGCUGGUCUGGGGGUGGUCGAGCAAGAAGACGAGCUGGAUGGGGUUCCUGUGUUUGGGGUAGAUGAGGAGGAGGAGGAGGAGUGGAACAUAGCCCUGCCCAAGAUGGCAUUGGGUGAUGUGGAGUCUGACAGAGAGUCAGCCGGACGACCUGACACACAACAUGCAGAGACUCAGGAUGAUGAUCAAAAUGCGACUGACAGAUUUCUUGAUGAAGUUUCACUUUCCAAAGUUAGAACAACUUCUGAGGAGGCUAGUCAAACUGCUGAGUACAGACUAACCAUACAAGGAGAAAGUCAUCUUUCAACUAACCACUCUCUGUCCUCUUUACCAGAGAACAGCUUGGAUGAAGGAAGUCUGAAUCGGUCUACGGCUGGGGGAUCCAGCCGUCAAGAGAGGUCAGAGAAUGUGUUCCAGAACCCAGCGAUGGGGGACAGAGAAGAGCCCCCCAUCUCUCCCCUCAUGAACAUCAAGGAUGAGCCCAUAGAUGAAGGAUAUGACUGUGCCCUUCUACCCUCAACACGGAAUAUCAAGGAGGAACUGGACAACACAACUCCUGAGGAGGAGCUGAGAAUCAGUUCUGUCUUUUCCGUUGGAGGAGGAAACUCCUAUGGCUCUUCCACUGGUGAGAGAAUCAGCAUAUUACAGUGCCUUUAG